rnacentral:snRNA from 1 species
GGGCUCCCCAUUCGACCCGU